UUGUGCUAAGGUAGCAUAAUCAUUUGUCUUUUAAUUAAAGACUAGAAUAAAAGAUUAAACAUUUUAAUUAAUUUAUUUAAACUAAACAUUAAAUUUAUUCUAAAUGUAAAAAAACAUUUAUACAUUAGGAAGACGACAAGACCCUAUUAAACUUUACUUUAGUUUAACUGGGGCAGUUAAUUAAUAAUCAUUUUAAUUAUAUUAUUUAACAAAUAUGAUCCUAUAAAAUAGAUUACAUGAUCAAGUUACUAUAGGGAUAACAGUGUAAUAUUAAUUUAAAGACCUUAUUAAAAUAAAAGAUUACAACCUCGAUGUUGAAUUAAUAACCUAUAUUAAAAAUAAUAAAAGGAAGUC
rnacentral:rRNA from 1 species